rnacentral:pre_miRNA from 1 species
CUUAUACUUCCUCCGUCCGGAAAUACUUGUCAUCAAAAUGGAUAAAAGAGAUGUAUCUAGACAUAUUUUAGUUCUAGAUACAUCCAUUUUUAUUUAUUUUGAUGAAAAGUAUUUUCGGACGGAGGGAGUAUUAG